rnacentral:rRNA from 1 species
CCUACGGGGGGCAGCAGUGAGGAAUAUUGGUCAAUGGGCGGAAGCCUGAACCAGCCAAGUAGCGUGCAGGAUGACGGCCCUACGGGUUGUAACCUGCUUUUAUACGGGAAUAACGCGCCUUACGUGUAGGGCUUUGCAUGUACCGUAUGAAUAAGGACCGGCUAAUUCCGUGCCAGCAGCCGCGGUAAUACGGAAGGUCCGGGCGUUAUCCGGAUUUAGUGGGUUUAAAGGGAGCGUAGGCCGCAUGUCAAGCGUGCUGUGAAAUGUCCGGGCUCAACCCGGGCCUUGCAGCGCGAACUGGCGUGCGUGAGUCCGCGGGAGGCAGGCGGAAUUCGUCGUGUAGCGGUGAAAUGCUUAGAUAUUGCGCAGAACUCCGAUUGCGAAGGCAGCAUACCGGCGGCGAUCUGACGCUGAGGCACGAAAGCGUGGGUAUCGAACAGGAUUAGAUACCCGGGUAGUC